AACCUAGCACACCUGCGGUGUGUACCUGCGGAGGGAUCAUUACCGAGUUUGCUUUUCUAGCUCGAAACCCACUGUGAACAUACCUCUCAUUCGUUGCUUCGGCGGCGGUUCUCUCUAGACUUUCCUCCUUUGGAGGGGUGUCUCCUGGGUCCAACCGUCGGAGGGACGCAAACCAAAACUCUUUUAACUUACUUCUCGAGUAUUAAUCUGAGUCGAUAUUUUUUAAAUUAUCAAAACUUU
rnacentral:misc_RNA from 1 species